CUCCCUGUACAGUGGCAGUAUCGUAGCCCAUGAGGUUUGUCCAAGGCACAGUUAUUGCUGAUUGAAGGCUUCACCUAGCUCCCCACCAAGGUGACCUGAAAUACAGUCAGCUUUAGCAAUUUUUGACAGUUUUGGCAGUAG